UGGGGUGUAGCUCAGGGGUAGAGCACAAGCCUAGGGUGCACAAGGCCUUGGGUUCUAUCCCCAGCACCCAAA
rnacentral:tRNA from 1 species